rnacentral:sRNA from 1 species
GCUGCCGCUAAAUCGGCAGCCGGGCGUAGGAACCCGAGUUACUUCAAGGCGACAUAUGACGCGCCAUGCGUCUUUUUU